GGAGCCAUAGCUCAGAGGCAGGGUGUCUGCCUUGCAAGCAGAAGGUCCCGGGUUCAAUUCUUGCUGGCAUCU